UCCCUGAUGGUCUAGCGGCUAGGAUUCGUGGUUUUCACCCACGCGGCCCGGGUUCGAUUCCCGGUCAGGGAA